CCAUGGCCGUCGUCUAUAAUGCAGUCGAGCGAGGCUUCGAGCCGAGCGGCGGACGGCUGAGUAACACGUUGGUAGCUACCUCAAACUCAGGGAUAACUAUGAGAAAUCAUAGCUAAUACCGGAUGGUCCCGUAAGGGUAAAGUUUUUACGGUUUGAGAGGUGCCUGCGUCCUAUCAGGUAGUUGGUGAGGUAAUGGCUCACCAAGCCUAUGACGGGUAACUGGUCUGAGAGGAUGGCCAGUCAGAGGGAAACUGAGACACGGUUCCCACUUCUACGGAAGGCAGCAGUAAAGAAUCUUCCACAAUGGACGAAAGUCUGAUGGAGCGACACCGCGUGCAGGAUGAAGGCCCUUGGGUCGUAAACUACUUUUUUGGGGGAAAAAUUCUGAUUGUACCCUAAGAAUAAGCACCGGCAAAUCACGUGCCAGCAGCCGCGGUAAUACGUGAGGUGCAAACGUUACCCGGAAUUAUUGGGCGUAAAGCGUCCGCAGGUGGCAAAGCAAGUCAGGUGUUAAAUCUUGAGGCUCAACUUCAAGACUGUGCUUGAAACUACUUUGCUAGAGAUUAGGAGAGGUGAGUGGAAUUCUGCAUGUAGGGGUAAAAUCCGUAGAUAUGCAGAGGAACACCAAAAGCGAAGGCAGCUCACUGGCCUAUAUCUGACACUCAUGGACGAAAGCGUAGGUAGCAAACGGGAUUAGAUACCCCGGUAGUCUACGGUGUAAACGAUGAUCACUCGAUGUCGGGAGUUCGACCCUCUCGGUGUCUAAGCAAACGCGAUAAGUGAUCCGCCUGAGAAGUACGAUCGCAAGAUUAAAACUCAAAGGAAUUGACGG
rnacentral:rRNA from 1 species